rnacentral:rRNA from 1 species
UGGGGAAUUUUGGACAAUGGGCGAAAGCCUGAUCCAGCAAUGCCGCGUGUGUGAAGAAGGCCUUCGGGUUGUAAAGCACUUUUGUCCGGAAAGAAAUCCUUGGCUCUAAUACAGUCGGGGGAUGACGGUACCGGAAGAAUAAGCACCGGCUAACUACGUGCCAGCAGCCGCGGUAAUACGUAGGGUGCAAGCGUUAAUCGGAAUUACUGGGCGUAAAGCGUGCGCAGGCGGUUUGCUAAGACCGAUGUGAAAUCCCCGGGCUCAACCUGGGAACUGCAUUGGUGACUGGCAGGCUAGAGUAUGGCAGAGGGGGGUAGAAUUCCACGUGUAGCAGUGAAAUGCGUAGAGAUGUGGAGGAAUACCGAUGGCGAAGGCAGCCCCCUGGGCCAAAUACUGACGCUCAUGCACGAAAGCGUGGGGGAGCAAAACAGGAUUAGAUACCCUGGUAGUCCACGCCCUAAAACGAUGUCAACUAGUUGUUGGGGAUUCAUUUCCUUAGUAACGUAGCUAACGCGUGAAGUUGAUCGCCUGGGGAGUACGGUCGCAAGAUUAAAACUCAAAGGAAUUGACGGGGUCAUAGCUGUUUCCU